GAUGAACGCUGGCGGCGUGCCUAAUACAUGCAAGUCGAGCGAACGGAUGAGAAGCUUGCUUCUCUGAUGUUAGCGGCGGACGGGUGAGUAACACGUGGAUAACCUACCUAUAAGACUGGGAUAACUUCGGGAAACCGUAGCUAAUACCGGAUAAUAUUUUGAACCGCAUGGUUCAAAAGUGAAAGACGGUCUUGCUGUCACUUAUAGAUGGAUCCGCGCUGCAUUAGCUAGUUGGUAAGGUAACGGCUUACCAAGGCAGCGAUGCAUAGCCGACCUGAGAGGGUGAUCGGCCACACUGGAACUGAGACACGGUCCAGACUCCUACGGGAGGCAGCAGUAGGGAAUCUUCCGCAAUGGGCGAAAGCCUGACGGAGCAACGCCGCGUGAGUGAUGAAGGUCUUCGGAUCGUAAAACUCUGUUAUUAGGGAAGAACAUAUGUGUAAGUAACUGUGCACAUCUUGACGGUACCUAAUCAGAAAGCCACGGCUAACUACGUG
rnacentral:rRNA from 1 species